rnacentral:rRNA from 1 species
GACAGUGUCAGGCGGGGAGUUUGACUGGGGCGGUACAUCUGUUAAAUAAUAACGCAGGUGUCCUAAGGUUAGCUCAGUGAGGACAGAAACCUCACGUAGAGUAAAAGGGCAAAAGCUAACUUGAUCUAUGACCUUCAGUACUGGUAUAGACCGCGAAAGCGUGGCCUAUCGAUCCUUUUGUUGUUCUUAAACGGUUGACAGUUUCAAGCAAGAGGUGUCAGAAAAGUUACCACAGGGAUAACUGGUAGCGCUAAGGCUUGACGUGGUUGUCGCAAGGCAAUCAAUACUACAACGUCAAGCGGUGCAGCGUUACAAACUUUGGUGUUUAGUGGUGUCGAUGUAGUGUUCAGUUCGCUGGAUGCUGCUUUCGGCCUAGCGUGCAAGUCCCAUUGACUUGGGCUUAUUCUUAAUUGAGAUGUCUACGGGUUUGGGGCAACUUGGAUCCGUGGAUGAGCCAGAGAGGGUGAAAGUCCCUUAACGCGCAGGUAUUGAUGCCACGAACCAGAGCAGUGGCGUCCGGUAAAACGGGCGUUGCGAUUGUUAGAGUCGGGUUGCUUGAGAGUGCAACCUAAAGAGCGAGGUAAACUGCUCGUAAGGCUACGUAAAUACGGCUACGACACCGAUAGCAAACAAGUACCGUGAGGGAAAGUUGCAAAGUACUUUGAAGAGAGAGUUAAACAGGGCGUGAAACCGCUAGCUGGUAAAACCCGUCUUGAAACACGGACCAAGGAGUGUAGGAGGGUUGUGUUGGUAGCGUUGAAGGCUAUGAGGGAGUGAUCCUGGCUGGAGCUGCCAAUAGUACAGAUCUUGGUGGUAGUAGCAAAUACUCAAGUGAGACCCUUGAGGGCCAAUGUGGAGAAGGGUUCCAUGCUAACAGCAAUUGGACAUGGGUCAGUCGGUGAAUUAGGUUAAUAUUCCUAAACCAAGAUGGGGAGAUGGCACGGACCACGGGAAUCCGACUGUCUAAUUAAAACAAAGCAUUGCGAUGGCCUAAGAUUGUGGUGUUGACGCAAUGUGAUUUCUGCCCAGUGCUAUGAAUGUCACAGUGAAGAAAUUCAUCUAAGCGCUAGUAAACGGCGGGAGUAACUAUGACUCUCUUGUGGUAGCCAAAUGCCUCGUCAUCUAAUUAGUGACGCGCAUGAAUGGAUUAACGAGAUUCCCACUGUCCCUAUCUACUACCUAGCGAAACCACAGCCAAGGGAACGGGCUUGGCAAAAUCAGCGGGGAAAGAAGACCCUGUUGAGCUUGACUCUAGUCUGGCUUUACGCGGAGUAUGCACCUGGGGCGCAAGUCUUGGGUGUAUGCGUUGCGAGUGGAGCCACGAAGUCGUUUCGUAGAACACGGGGCGCAGAUUCAGCUGGGGUCUACCAAGGCUCUUGCGUAUUUCUGCUUGUUCCGCUACUGUAAGCGUACACUGCAACCAAUUAGACGGCUAAUCGUGGAAAUAGUUCGCCAGUUGACAGGGAAACUUGUUGCUGGUGGGCGCCAAAUUUGUGUAUUCACUGUAGGUAGCCUGGAUGAGGUCUUGUAUUUCAUCUGGGUGUAUGACAUUCGUGGAUGCGUGAACUACGAUUAGGUACUGAUUGGCACAAUGAAAAUCGAACCGCAAGGUUCGUACAUUCAUAGAAAGCGGCUAGCAUCGUAACUGGGUACAAUUGCACGCCGCUAGUAUAAGCCUGGCAUUUUUGAAUUCAGGCGCUUGCAUUAUCAGCGGGCUUGCUUGUUGAUAUGCAUGUCGUUUCCUGUCUAAUCGGGUGUCAACUUUGCUGGCGGUUUUGUGUAGUUGCUGCGAUAGCACCGGAUGCGAUAGUUAGUUUGCGAGUAUUGGCAGUGAGUAGGUCGGCUUUCCACACGCGUUGAAUUAUCGUUCGUAUAACAAGCGAUUAGUUAUGAUUCAACGCCUAAGAGAAUGGCGAAAGCUAUUUCUGAAUCAAAGGCAGUGUAAACCAAACACAACAAACAUAAAGUUGUUCUCUCUAAGUUGUGUGUUUAUAUGCUUCGCAUUGAACGGCCGGAAGUGCUGGUGAAUGUGCAAACAUCCACAAUCUAAAGGCGCGACCAGACGGCAAGUAUAUUUACGGCAACAUUUAUAAAUGGAGGAACAUACAUUAAGUGUGAAUGAUCACUGUAUGACUCGAAAGGUGCUUGUUGUGCGGUUAUUCAUUUAGCUGUGCAACUAGCAUUGGCGGUAACGCAAACAAGGCUCUGAGGAUCGAGUUGGUCGGGCUGUAUGUGAGAUACUUUCAUGAGUUUGUAUCUAUGCUGGACCUGUAUACUUGUGGGCGCUUUCGGGUGUUUAUAGGUGUGUUGGAUCGGCAUGGAUCACUCGUUUGUUGAUCGCUACAGCUACGUUGGUGGUGUUUGGGCACUUGUGUCUGGAUGCUAUCGUUAAAAGCGUCAUCGGCUAACAACUAACGAUCGAAUCAGAACUCAAGCUCUCGCAGAAAUGUGAAUCAGUUUCAUCUGGUAAAGCGAAUGAUUAGAGGCCUUGGGAGCGAAACGCUCUCAACCUAUUCUCAAACUUUAAAUGGGUGAGAUGUGCGACGUACUUAACUGACGCCGCAUUCACGAGAAUGUAUUGAGAGCUUAGUGGGCCAUUUUUGGUAAGCAGAACUGGCGAUGCGGGAUGAACCGAAAGUGAAGUUAAGGUUGCCGAUAAUGGUGUUAACAAUUGUGCACUAGCUACACUCAUGAGAUCCCAUGAAAGGUGUAAGUUGCUAAAGACAGCAAGGACGUGGCCAUGGAAGUCGGAAACAUCUAAGGAGUGUGUAACAACUCACUUGCCGAAGCAACUUGCCCUGAAAAUGGAAGCAGCUCGAGUGUUGAACCUAUACUUCACUCUAGUUAAGUAUCGAGUCGAUCGGUCUUGAUUAGGCCAGACAUUGAGAGUGCCGCAAGGCAAAGCUUUCAAACUAUAAAUGACGGCAAAGUGAAAUCAAAUCAUAUGUGAUCUGAGGUCUAUAACAAUGGCCUACAGCGCAACAUAUGCCCAUUCGUAUGGUUAUACGCGCAAGUGUUAACCGAAUGGAGCAAAGAGAUACUUGACUGGUAUUCUCUCACUUGGCCGUACCCAUAUCCGCAGCAGGUCUCCAAGGUUAACAGCCUCUGGUCACUUAGGAUAAUGUAGGUAAGGGAAGUCGGCAAAACGGAUCCGUAACUUCGGGAUAAGGAUUGUGAAGAGACAUGAGAGGUGUAGCAUAGGUGGGAGAUACACAUCGGGCAACUGGUGUGUGUCGCAAGUGAAAUACCACUACUUUCAUUGUUUCUUUACUGA